UCACAAAUUACAUAACAUCCACAAAUAAAUUUUUCAAUUAUGCUUAGCCAAUUGCAAAAGCAAGCACAUUCCAAGGCAGAUUCUAUGUUUCAAUUGCAUGAACAACAAUAUGUCUAAAAUCCCACCAAUUUCAAGCUCUCGCCAUCAUUCCUCGUACACAAAUAAAUCCAUAAAGACGCUGAGAAGAACAGAGUACAUGCGAGAAUAUACGAAUCCAUCUAAUCUAAUCAAAUGAGAAGAGUUUUUGUCGCCAAAGAAACAACCGGUGCAUGAAUGAAAAGCCCACAACUUGUAUCCGCAAAGCAAAAAAUGAAAGUAAUGUAGCUGUGAACUCCACAUGAUUCCUAGGUUCUCAAAGACAAAUCCAUGUUUGGGAGUUGUUUCUUUCAUUAUCUUCCUCGACUUCAAUGGAACUGCUCAAUCUUGAUUCUCUCGUAAUCCUCCAUUUCUUUCAGGUAUCUCCCCUUGUCCUUCAAGAUCUGGUUUUGGUAAACCUAAUGAUUUACCAACAUUAUCGAAUUAAAUAAUUUGAAAUUAUACUUCGAGUAUGUAUGGUUUAGAGUAUAUAUGAAGGAAAACUCUGCAUGUACAAAUUUUUUUAACAGAAUUAGUACAGAAAGAUAGCUGUCUUCAUGUACAAAAUCUAUUGAAAAAUUCUAUACUUGUAACAUUGCUCAUUAGUGAAUAGGACUCUAUUGUAAUUUAGACAAAAUUUUAUCUUCUUAAAACUAGCACUUUAUAAUCUACCUAAUCGUAAUAGCCAUAAAUUUCAUCGUAAUAGACACAAGCACGAGACCUUUUAUAAUUGAACUUACCAUUCUCUCUUCAGGAGUGAGCUUGGUCC
rnacentral:lncRNA from 1 species